UGAGCCUCUGUUUGUGUUCUGGCUAGACAUCGUCUAUAAUGAGCGCUGAUUAGUUAACUUGUUUAAAUGCCUCUGCUAUUUCAGUCUCUGACGCUCAGCCAUCCAUCCAUCCAGGCCCAGCCCCGCUGCCCUCACCCACCCUCCCACAUGGGUGACAUUCUUCAGAGGUGUCUGAGCCAGAGUUAGAGACUACUACUGGGCAAAAAGGAAGCAGUCAUGGAGUUCAAGUUCGACUUCACGUAACAUAUAUUUUAUAGAGCAAAUGAAAAUAUGUGAAGAGGUGGUGGUGGGACUCUACAGUCACCAUGCUGCCUAGCCCUCCUGAAGCCACCUACACCAACUGGACCUCACCCUCAGCCUGUUAUUCUUUCCACUGGGGAGCCUGUUUUCAGGAUCCCACAAACCCCUCGGAGGAUCCUCUGGACGCUGGAGCUGAAGGCUGACAAAUUUGCUGACUUGUUGAAGAAAGGUUCUGGUGAAGAAUAGGUUGCUGCUCAGUUUUUGCAAGCUUGUGUGUGUGUGUGUGUGUGUGUACAUGUAAAUGUCUGAGUAUUAGGGGCAUAAGUGUGCAUCUGUAUGGAGUAUGUGUGUAUGGAUGAGAGUAAGAGAGAGUUGUAAUUUGUCUUUUGUGUGCAUGUGUGGGAGGAUGUGUAUGGGUAUGUGAGUGGGGGCUGGCUGUGUGUGGGUGGUUCAGCUAAGGGUUGAGUGGUUGAGUGAGAUGACAGUAAUAAAUUCAUUCACUUUAGGGCCUGUUGAUUGCAUCAUCAAUCACAUUUAUUGAUGAUGUGUUCGGCUGACAUACCUCUGAGUCCCUGUUGUUCCACUGCAACAACCUGACACAUCCUACACAACAGCGGCUAAACUGAGCAGCGAACAUCUGUCAACUUGUGAUGUAUUUGGCCACGUAAGAACAACUGAUACCACACUGAGAUAUCCAUUACGCCCCCUGGGAUCCUCGCUCCCAAUCUGAAUUAACUCUGAGGUUUCAA